GGUUAGCUUAGAAGCAGCUAUCCUUUAAAGAGUGCGUAACAGCUCACCAGUCGAGAUCCAGGGCCCCGAAAAUUGACGGGGCUAAGCCGAUUACCGAUACCACGGAGCACCGCAAGGUGAUCUAGUAGGGAGGCGCUCUGCGUGGGCAGAAGCAUCUGCGUGAGCAGGUGUGGACCGCGUAGAGACGAAAAUCCUGGUAGCAGUAGCAGCAAAGUCGGGUGAGAAUCCCGAUCGCCGUAAGGGCCAGGGUUCCUCGGCAAUGUUCGUCAGCCGAGGGUCAGUCGGUCCUAAGACGUACCUUAAUCGGAGUACGCCAAAUGGGAAACAGGUUAAUAUUCCUGUACCUUUCAACAUUAAAACUGACGCUUCCGGAUAUGUCAAGCGUCCUUGCCUGGGCGUUCAAUCGUAUAAUCCUGUGGAGAGCCGUAAUGGCGAGAACCAGGAGAAAGCGUGAUGACGUAAGUUGGCAAAUUCCAGGAGUCCGUGAAAAGGGAGUUGAAAGUCCGUACCGAGAUCCAACACUGGUGCCCCAAGCUGAGAAGGCUAAGGCGUGUCGGCAUAUGCUAGCUAAGGGAAUUCGGCAAAAUAGCCACGUAACUUCGGGAUAAGUGGUGCCUGCUUUGCAAAAAGCAGGUCGCAGUGACGAGGGGACUCUAACUGUCUAAUAACAACAUAGGUGAUUGCGAAUCCGUAAGGACUAGUACAAUCACUGAAUCCUGCCCAGUGCAGGUACCUGAAAACCCGGUUCAACGGGAAGAAGGGCCUGUCAACGGCGGGGGUAACUAUGACCCUCUUAAGGUAGCGUAGUACCUUGCCGCUUAAUUGGCGGCUUGCAUGAAUGGAUCAAUGAGAGUCCCACUGUCCCUAGCUGGUACCCGGUGAACCUUACGUUCCAGUGCAGAGUCUGGAGACCCCUAAUGGGAAGUGAAGACCCCGUGGAGCUUUACUGCAGCCUGCCGUUGGGUUGUGGUUUUGAUUGUAGAGCAUAGGUAGGAGACGUCGAAGCUCGGGCGCCAGUCCGAGUGGAGUCGCCCUUGGAAUACUACCCUUUCGAAGCUACCGCCCUAACUCUGAGAAGAGGACCUCGGUAGGUGGGCAGUUUGGGUGGGGCGCCACGCCCUUGAAAAGAUAUCAAGGGCGCCCUAAGGUUGACUCAGUUGGGUCGGAAACCCAACAAAGAGUGUAAAGGCAUAAGUCAGCCUGAUGUUACCUCGCAUAGCAAGAGGUGAUAAGACGAAAGUCAGGCUUAGCGAACCUCUCAGCUCUCUUGGUGAGAGCGUUAGAUGACAGAAAAGCUACCCCGGGGAUAACAGAGUCGUCACCGGCAAGAGCACAUAUCGACCCGGUGGCUUGCUACCUCGAUGUCGGUUCUUUCCAUCCUGGCCGUGCAGCAGCGGCCAAGGGUGAGGUUGUUCGCCUAUUAAAGGAGAUCGUGAGCUGGGUUUAGACCGUCGUGAGACAGGUCGGUUACUAUCUGUUAGGGGUGUAUUGCGGUCUGAGGGCAGGUUGGUUUUAGUACGAGAGGAACAAGCCAACGGCACCUCUGGUCUAUCGGCUGUCUGGCAAGGCAUGCCGAGCAGCUACGUGCUCGCGGAUAAGGGCUGAAAGCAUCUAAGCCCGAAACCGCCCCUGAAAAGAGACCGCUUAGAGUACUCGUAAAAGACGAGUUUGAUAGAGCUGGUGUGUAAGCACCAAGGCAACGAGGUGUUCAGCUCGCAGCUACUAA
rnacentral:rRNA from 1 species